CAGCAGCCGCGGGAAUACGUAGGGUGCAAGCGUUAAUCGGAAUUACUGGGCGUAAAGCGUGCGCAGGCGGUUUGUUAAGACAGAUGUGAAAUCCCCGGGCUCAACCUGGGAACUGCAUUUGAAACUGGCAAGCUAGAGUCUUGUAGAGGGGGGUAGAAUUCCAGGUGUAGCGGUGAAAUGCGUAGAGAUCUGGAGGAAUACCGGUGGCGAAGGCGGCCCCCUGGACAAAGACUGACGCUCAGGUGCGAAAGCGUGGGGAGCAAACAGGAUUAGAUACCCCAGUAGUCCCUGUCUCUUAUAC
rnacentral:rRNA from 1 species